UCUUGGUCAUUUAGAGGAAGUAAAAGUCGUAACAAGGUUUCCGUAGGUGAACCUGCGGAAGGAUCAUUACAGUAGUCACCCGGGUUGCCGCAAGGCCUCUCGGGUAACCUACCACCCUUUGUUUAUUACACUUUGUUGCUUUGGCAGGCCUGCCUUCGGGCUGCUGGCUCCGGCCGGCGAGCGCUUGCCAGAGGAUCUAAACUCUGUUUGUCUAUACUGUCUGAGUACUAUAUAAUAGUUAAAACUUUCAACAACGGAUCUCUUGGUUCUGGCAUCGAUGAAGAACGCAGCGAAAUGCGAUAAGUAAUGUGAAUUGCAGAAUUCAGUGAAUCAUCGAAUCUUUGAACGCACAUUGCGCCCCCUGGUAUUCCGGGGGGCAUGCCUGUCCGAGCGUCAUUACAACCCUCAAGCUCUGCUUGGUGUUGGGCCCCGCCGCCCCGGCGGGCCCUAAAGUCAGUGGCGGUGCCAUCCGGCUCCGAGCGUAGUAAUUCUUCUCGCUCUGGAGGUCCGGUUGUGUGCUUGCCAUCAACCCCCAAUUUUUUUCAGGUUGACCUCGGAUCAGGUAGGGAUACCCGCUGAACUUAAGCAUAUCAAUAA
rnacentral:rRNA from 1 species